ACUCAAAUGAAUUGACGGGGACCCGCACAAGCAGCGGAGCGUGUGGUUUAAUUCGAGGCUACGCGAAGAACCUUACCAGGGAUUGACAUGGCCGUAGUAGUGAAGCGAAAGCGGAACGACCCUUCGGGGCGCGGCCACAGGUGAUGCAUGGCUGUCGUCAGCUCGUGCCGUGAGGUGUUUGGUUAAGUCCACUAACGAGCGCAACCCUUAGCGCCAGUUACAAGUGUCUGGCGCGACUGCCGGUAUUAAGCCGGAGGAAGGUGGGGAUGACGUCAAGUCAGCAUGUCCUUUAUACCCUGGGCGACACACACGCUACAAUGGCCGGUACAAUGGGUCGCCAAGCCGUGAGGCGGAGCCAAUCCUCAAAAGCCGGUCUCAGUUCGGAUUGCAGGCUGCAACCCGCCUGCAUGAAGUCGGAGUUGCUAGUAACCGCAGGACAGCUAUACUGCGGUGAAUACGUUCCCGGGUCUUGUACACACCGCCCGU
rnacentral:rRNA from 1 species